ensembl:lncRNA
GAAAGGCAAGGAAAACAAAGAUGAAAGGUGGUGUAGGGCUUAACUGCCAGAAUUUAUACGCCGCCAUAUGUGAGCAGGUUUGUACUUGGAAGAUGAACGGUGGGUUGUUUGUUUUCCCGGAUUUCUGCCAGUGUUGGCAUCGCCGUAUUCUGACAGUCGCUCCUCUCGCCUCCCUCGAAAGGAUGGCACUCUCUCCUCUCAGUUUAUGAAGCACAGUUGUGUGAACUGUGUGUGACAAGUAGCAAGCUAGACAGGUAAAUCGUAGUCCUCUCCAGCAGCGCGCUCCCCCUACAUCCAUCUAACGGAGGAGGAUCGAGCACAAGGGGGAGGCCAUCUCCCUUCAUCUUCACCUUGUACAGAUGAAGAAAAAUGUAAUGCACUGCACAGUGGGGAAGAUUGGGACUCCACUCAGCAUGACGUUAGACUGGUUUGUUAGUUUCCACCAGUGACUGCUUUUUAGGCCUUUAAGAAUUGACAUAUAUUGAACAGAUUUGAUUAAACACUGAAAACAAUGAUGUAGAUUAGCCACUGCAGUUUUCAUGCGUAUAGGAUCCAGUUCCCAAAGGAGAGAUUAGGUAGUGAUGGAAAAAUCUGGAUGUAAGCUAUCUUUGUGAAUUUAAGAUUAAAUAAAUCACAGCUCCCUGAGCUGAGUCAGCUCUGCGUGCCAACACUUUCCUUCAUGUCCAUGUUUGCUUCAGGUCUAAUCGAGUUCCAUGCUGGAGGUGGGGGGUGCAGGUAGGAGAAUAAAUUGCUUAUUUAUUGAGGUGUAGGAAACUUAUUAUGGCUACAGUGUGAAGACAGAUUGGCUGGUCCACUGUGUGGUCACCUCAAGAACAUUCGUCUAUUCUGAAGGACAUUGAAAGAAGUCCGGAACAGUUCUUUGUCUGUAACUAUUCAAGGUAGUAAUUGUAGUGGCAAUGGAGGGCUUACUGUGACCAUAGGCUCUCUAGACAUCUGCUUCACUGUUGUUCCAUAUUUACAAGACUAUUAAGGGACUAACCACUGGUGUGAUGUCGGCUAUAACAGCUUUUUUCCUCUAGGUCAGAUAAGCUUAGAGUGCACUGGGUCACUAUUUGUUUUUUAGUUCAGUGUUGAUCUAGUAAUCGCUGCUUUAGAGAACAAAGUGCAACAUUAUAAACGAUACUGUGAGUUCUUUAACAAUUAAUGGGGAAAUAUACUGCACUAAAAUGAACUUUUUCCUUGUAGACUGUGUUUACUGAAUUGAAAAUGUUGAUGUACGUCUAAAAAUGUCUUGCUAGUAAACUUGAAAUCUUUGAGAAAAAUGAGUUAAUUAAAUGAGUUGGUCUUGGCAUUGUUGUGUUGUAUGGAUUUCUGAGUUACUGGAACUCACUACCUUUUGUUGAAGGAAGAAAACAGGGUACAUUUGUUCUGGUGAAGUGAACGCUUUGCUAUUUUACUUUUAACACAGAAUCAAUGCUGUCACCUAGAAAUGACAUUUAUAUGGUACUUAAUACUAAAAUGUUAUCUGAAAGGCCGAUUUUAUUGGUUGAUGUUGCAUAGUUUGUCCACUAGAGGGCGCGUCGCAACUUCCCUGUUGGCGGUACUGCCACACACGCAACAAGCAGCAGAUCCAAACAACAUCAGGCAGUGUGUAAAUGAGUAAACAACUACAUAUCAGCUGAUAUGAGUUUAUCAAAUUUAAAUCAGCAAUUUUGACUAUUGGUUUUAAGAAUUAAGAAUUCUAUAUCGUUCAGACGCUUGUAGAUGCUAGGUUGUUUUGUCUUUUUGUUUUGUUUGUCUUUGAAGGAGAAUACAUUAUGGUUAUAUACUAGAAUUGGCAAUCAGAUGUUCAAGGUGAACAGAUGGCAUACAAAACAACAGAAGAGCUAUUUUCCUUUCUGUUUUAGAGCUUUUAGUUGACUGCUGCUCAAACAGCUCUCACCUACAGUCCAAAUAGAAACCAGAGCUAAUAUUUACAUAUAUCAUAUCAGAACUAUAUAAAAGGACUAAUAUGGUCCCUUUAUAUGUAUAGACGCCUACAGCUACUACAUAUAAAAUGUGUUGCUAGAGACUGUGUUUUGCUUCAGUGUAGUUUCUAGGUGACAGGAUUGAAAUAAAUAUAUGUUGUUAUUUUAACUAUGUAGAAUGCAUACUGUUUACACCAGCAAAAGCAUAUGUAUAGGCAUAUUUAUAAUAUUUAACUCCUUGAUAUUUAACUCUAUUUAACUCGUUCACUGAUUGAGAAAACAAAUAUUCAGAACAAUCCUAAUGGACAUCUUAAGUGCAUAAACUGUGCAAAUUGUUACUAAAUCGAGGGAGGAAGUUGUUGCUUGUUAUCAGCGUAAAUAGUAAAUACUAACAGUCCUGAUAACCCCGAUACAGUCUUCCUGAUCUGUGCUCUCCAUUUUAUCGUACUGUUGCUUGUCUUUUCCUUUUCUGAGCGGAGACCUUACGUUGCUUUAACCACAAUGCUCUUCUCACAUCGCUCCACCGCUUCAUCUCCUCGAGCACUGUAUCAAAUGUAAUUCCAACUGUGAGUUUUAAAGUGUUUCUUUGGCUGUCGCACUGUUGAAUUUUAGCUUCGAGGGCAAAGUCCACGCUGUUGUUUCUGUGCACUCUCAUUCGCUUGCAACCCUCUCAUCUUCAUCUCACCCAUGAACAUCUUUCCUUUGGCAAGGGCUCUCAGUCUUUGGGUAGACAGGCACACAGUGGAAGAAUUAAAGAAAAAGAAAACACUGGAGGAAAUAACCUGAAACAACAACAAAAAUAAUAAGGAAGUCCCCAGAGAUAGAAAGAAAAAUGUGAACCAGCAAACCGGUGAACAAUCACACUCAGCUUGGAGAAGCGGCCUCCCCCUUGAGCUACAGUUUUGGACUGUGGAAGGAACCCUCAGUGACUCUACUUGGAUGGCACUUAGCUUUUGUUGACCCAGUGACUUUCCUCGAUACACUGACUCCUCUUUUUGUUAUGUGGGGAGGGGUUUUUUUGGACUGUGUAAGUGAGUUGUAGUUGUUGCUCUCCUCCUUUCUCUGUCUCUCCCUCUCUAUCUCCUCACCAGACUAUUUCUAGUUUCAUGUGUAAUCUACUUGAUGUUUGAUUACUUGAAGGGGCAGCGUUCAGUUGCCUAGAUUUUUCGAGCACUCUGUGUAAAAUGAAGGUGAUCUUUGUGUAAAUCUUUUCAUGGCUCGGGAUGAUGAUGAUGAUGAUAUGUACAGGGGGAAUGUUUUGAUACGUUUUUAUGGUCCUUCCACAGUCAAACAAGAUGAAGAAAUUGAAAGAAAAUCUAAGGCUCCAGAUUUUUUUUUUUGCAAAACUGUCCACCUACAUUUUCUCAGAAAUCUUGCUGAUAUGUCUUUGUCUGCAAGGAAAGAUAAAAAAGAAAAGAAAAGGGAAAAAAAAACAUUCGGGCCUCUAACCAUUCCUCAGCCAUAAGACAGGCAUUUUUUCUUUAUGCUGUUUGUUGCACAAAACUUUUCAAAAAGCCUUCUGCACUGUGUAAAGAAAUAACGUUCUUUGUAAGGGAGGAAAUAAAAGUGUGGUGGGGUUGGGGCUCAAGGGGGGUGUCCAGUGAGUGGUACAGUCCAGUGGUUUUGAAUCCUGACUUGUAAAUAAUACGUUUUCAUACUGCAGAAAUCUUUUGAUAAUGUUUUAAAUGUAUCUGUAAAAACAACAACAGCGGCAAAAAAACGGAGAAAAAAGAUAUGUACAUAAACUUCUGGGGUAAAAGGAGUGUAGACGAUGUAUGAAUUUAUUUGUACACACGAGCACUGGAUUUCUUUACUACUUGAUUGUAACUAAAAUGUAAUAAUCUGCCAAAGUGUUCCUGUAUUACUUUCACUUCCAUUUGUUCGUUUCUGUUUUACUCUCCUGCUUUUUAACAGCAAUGCGGAUUUUUAGAGUUUCCACUGUAUUUAAUUCUGUUUAAAUUUAAUUCGUCUUUUGUUAGUUUGGG